AUUUGUUUUCUUAGGUUUCAAUGAAUAUGAUGAUGAGAUUGCGGUAGAUGUUCAGUCGUAUUUUGAUAGAAUGCAACAAGCUUGCAAUUGAUCUUUUAGGCUGACAUGCUUUAGUUGGGCAAGUCCAAAUAUAGUUUUGAGGAAGUGGAAACACUGCGGAGAUGAAGAAAGAGGCUGCAAGAUCGACUAUAUAUAAUAACAUUUUACAUAUGUUUUUCGUUUAUUAUAUUAAGGCGUGUGAGCCUAUUAUGUUUUUAUGCAUUAGACGAAUAUUUUAGACAGUGUUUGCUGUAAAUACUUUUUGGUUACAUUCCAAUGGAGUCCAAUGAAGAUUGUUGCUUAUUAGUAAUUUGGAGCUAUCAAAGUUUUGCUCUA